rnacentral:sRNA from 1 species
UCUUUAUGUGAUUAUAGGCUAUAAAGCCUUUGAAAUAAGCACUUUGGGGCGCUUUCCCUUAGUGCUUUUUAUAAUUUA